GACCCCUGUUCUGCUCAUGCUGGGACUGUCACACAGUGCACCACAUUUCUGAAAGGAAACAGAAGACCCUGUAAGCCUUAUCUUAGUUACUCACUCCAGAUUUGCUACUGCAUGUGUUUAAGGUCACAUCAAUAAGUUUUUACACAGAUGUGGUGAGUGCAGAAGCAGCCUCCUCCCACCAGCUGUUUUUGGAAAGUGAUAAAGCAUCAUUAGUAAGUCACUCUGGGAGAGAAUACUACUGCUGGUUGCUGUAAAAAGCAGUAGAUGUGAAAUGUUUCCAACAUUUGAAUGUAACUGAAUGCAAUUUUACUCUGUAAUACCUAUGAGUCAUUAUAGUUCUUCCUUAAUAAAUUCAUCAGAAGAGGAAAACAGUAUUGCUUGGAGGAUAAUUGGAAGGAGAAUGAUGGACCUCAUAAGGCUUCAGAAGAGAUUCUUAUGUUGCAGAUGUAGCUGCUGCUGAAGCAGACCAAAUGGUUUUUGGACUUGCUAUUCUGAGGAGCCUAGGAGCAAAGAAGUCUAAGAGUGCUGUAUUGCCCUGUAGCCAGAAAAAAAAAAAAAUGGACAAUAGGAUCAUCAUGCCAUGGGAAAUUUCACUCAAAGAAGCAUGUUUCCUUUGAUUUCAGAUUAGUGCCUUUCUGGUCAGAUUUCUUCAACAUCAUACAUUUUGUACAUGAGUACAAAAUGACUACAGGGUAUGGGAGUUUGCCUAUUCUUGUGCACUUGGUAUGAUAUUUAAAAAAAAAAAAACAAAAAAAAACUAACAGCACCAUUUCAUAAUGAUGACUUGCAGGCAGUUUAUUUCAAAAACUGGUUGUUCUGAGUAACAUCUGCACAAUAAUUUCAGAGCCCAAUGUCUCUCUGAACACGUGGGCCCUACCCUGCUGCCCAACAGUUUGAUAGACUCCUGGAACACCCCAUUUUUCUAAUGCUUGUGACUGUGAGACUGCAGUGAGCAAAGAUUUUUUUAUUUUAGCUUUUACUUACUGUAUUGUCCUGCAUUGGUAUUUAUUGCUUUUAUCAUUAUUAUGAUAUAAUAUAUCAUUAUAUCAUAUAUAUUAUUUAUAUAUAUAUAUAUUAUAUCACAAUAUAUAUUAAAUCAGCUAUACAUUGCUGAUUUAAUGCUUUAUCUGUAUUUGAUAUGCCUUUAUUUUUACUUAUUAUUUUUAUUAUUAUUUUUCUGAGGGCUCAUCUCUAUGGCUGAAAAUUCUUGGUGGUAAUAAUUAAAAUCACAUUUCAGCUCAUGCAGUCUGGAACCUCACCAUUAGAAGUAAGUUUAUGAGCCAUGGCUGUUUUCUAGUAUUUUUUUUUAUGACCAUUAAGGGAUAUAAGGUUUAAUAGGAACAUUGUCUUCUUUAUUAGGAAAAAAACAGCGUUGGUUUUUUGUUGUUUUUUAUUUUAUUUUUCCUGGGAACAGUAUCACUUUCACUCAACUUGUGUGUUCCUGGUUAGGUUUAUUUCAGAUGGUUAAAUGUGACUAAAUGAAUUAAGGUAAUCUUUGAAGCAGCAUCCUUCUUUCAUAUGUGUAAGGGUUUUUCUUUCAUUUGUAUUUUUAUAUUAAUGUCUACUCCCUUGUUCCCCUCCAAAUAGAAUUAUUUCCAGUCAGAUUUUAAUAAUUAUCUAAAAUCCAAAAGGCAUUGCAGUUUUUCACAUUUAAGUUAAGCUAAAGUUAUCAAGUACCACUACUUAAUUAGUUUUAGAAAACAAACAAUCUAUUACUUGCUAUUUUUAAUUAAUUCAGUCUACCAUGUACUGGCAUUUUCUAGUCAUUCUGGAAAUUAUCCAUCCAACUGAUUGUAAACCCCUAUCCCUCAGUUUAAAAAGAGGAUUGUUAUCUUUUGGCUCUAAAUGAAACAUUCAGGAAGUGUUUAUUGUUCAUGUUAAUCCAUGCUGUAGCUGACUUUGCUGUUUCUGUCAUCAAACAAAUGUUAACAAAUAAUGCCAUUGUCUGAAAAAAUAAAGAAAAGAUAAAGCAACUCUUGUUAUAUUAUGUCCCUCCAUAAUAAAAGGCAGUAAAGUCAUUAUACCAUGAAAAGCUAUGAAUCAGUUUAACAAGCAAGUUCUGUUGAAACUGCUGAUUAUAUUUGCUGUAAUGGCAUUGGUCAUCUGAUUUUUUUUUUUUUUUUUUUUUGGUAAACAAGUGUAGAAAUCCAGCUAUGUGUCUGUAAAAGAAUCCCAUGCCUCUACAUUUGUUUCAUUAUCCUAUUCCUGAGGAAAAAAAAAGUGAAAAAGAAAAAUAAGAAACUUUUUGUUUUAAAAUAUCUGAAUAUCUGAGACAGAGAAUAAACCUACAGAAAAUUCUUAUCAUAGUAUUUUAUAAAGUAACAGAUAAUGAUAUGGACUUCACUUUCAUUAUUUAGGGGCAAAAAACUUAUGAGGGGAGAACAGGAGGAUGUCACUGUAUGUGAGAAAACUGUUUCAGAUUUGCUUUCAAGCACUCUGAUUCUCUUCUGCAAAGCUUUCUAAUUUUUUUCUCUUCCUUUCUCCCUUUCUUUCUCUCCAGAAAUAGAAGCAUAGAAAUACCUUGUGUUAUAUGUCUUUGCCUGGUUUUGCUUUCUGUGUCCUUUCAGCACAUAUCCUUCUCUGUGCAGUGAACAUAUGGUCUUCUUCCUGUGAUUUCUUGGCUGUGUGCCACAUAUGACUGCCAGAUAUAAUAUGCAAUGUCCAGUGCUAUAUGGUCAAAUUCCACGACCAGUCUGUACUCUGUAGUAUUUUCUUUUUUCAGCAGUUUUUCCAGAUGCCUACACAGCUUUCUUCACAAAGGUAUGCUAUAGGCACUCUGCUGAUCUACAUAUGUACGAAGUCACUCCAUAUAACAGUCAUGCUGAUAUCCCACUGUUGAGUAUUUGUCAAAGUGUAUGCAUGUGAUUCCUCUCUCCAUAUUUCAAUGUGAAGAAUUUGGCAACAUAUAUAAAUGUAUCAUACUGAUAAACUUAUAGCCAUAUGUAUAAAAAUAUGUUUUCUCAGUUUCACUGAAACAGAAAUGACUACUUCCAUUCAGACUGAAAAUUUAGAAGACUUGCAGCUUUUUCUCUCUCUUUUUUUUAAACCUCAUUGGUUUAAAAUUUUUUUUGGAAAAUUUCAAGCUGUGAGUGCUCAAAAGGUGACAAGGAAAGGGAAAGAAGGACAGCAGAUUGCUUCCUGAAAGCUGCAUGGAGAAGUCAGUGUAGGGGCACUGAGGAUGUUCUACCUAAGCUACGGUAACAGACAGUGCAUGCACUUGUUUGUCACAAACAGGGUAAAUGCAGGAACUCAGCCCAUGAAGAAAUAUUUCCAACUUCUGCUGGCAUACAGUAGUAAUGCAUGGGAAUUAGAUUGCACUUCUGAGCCAUAGAACAGCUGCCAACUUACCAAGUCACCCAUGCAAAAUAGAGUAAUGCAGGUUAAUGGCUUUCCUAAGACUGUUCUGUGUCUUGUGAAGUUUUCUGUUUAUACAAUGGAUUUUAAGGUAAAAAUCAUUAGCUAGGACUCAUAUCUGCAAAGUACUUUUUAUCUAAACUAUAGUGAUGCUUGAAUAAUAAUUGGAUUGGUUCUUCUUACUGCUGACAGAAUGUGAAGAAGAGUUUCACACAGGGAAAUUAAGGAGAAUAAAAAGUGAAUGGGGGCUUUAGAAAAUAAUAUCGAGUGCACUUUAGCAUGCUAUAAGGUAAUUCCAAAGUGAAUACUUAGAAAUUGCUGGAUUUUAUGGGAUUCGUCGUAGAAGUAGUUCUUAGAGAUCUGAAGAAAAAUAAGUAAACAUAAUGAUUUUAAAAAUCAGACAUAAAGCCAGGGUUUGGAAAAAAUGCCUUUGGGAGAAAGAGGUAUAUGGGAAUUCAGAACUCUUAUGGGUUGUCAGCUAAAAUUCUGACAGAACUGGUGUUAACUUUAUUGGAAAACUAAAACAUUAGCUGUAGAAUAAGAGGAGUGUGUUGAUAUUUUGGCACUUAUAGUCACAGUCCAAAAUAUUUUAAUGGUUUAUAAAUCUGCUCAGGCAAACUAAAUAAGUGCUGACAUUUUUUUUCUCCCUAAAAUUUUGACUGUUCAAGAAAGGUAAAAGGCCAGAACUGACACUCUUGCAGUUACAGUCCUACUAGGGAGGCUAUUAAAAGAGACAUAAACAUAAUGCUAAAGAGGCAAUGUUUUACCCUCAAUACACUCAAAAUUACUGAGAUUUUCAUAAGCAAAGCCAGAUAUUCUCUGACUUUUCAUUUGGGUUUUGUUUUAAUGAUUUAAUGAUUUUUAGUUUUGUCGGUUAACUAGGUCUACUCACUAUACCAAUAGAAUUACGAUUAGGGAAAAUCUAUGCUAUUACACAUAUGUAUCUUCAGUUACCAGAGGAAUUUUGCUAACAUUGGUGCCUCUAACUGUAGAGAACAACAUAGGGUAGGUAGGGUACAUCACCCAGCUCUGACUGUUUAACCACAUAUUUGAAACAUGACAUCCAUGUUUGCAGAUGCUAGCAGAAACUGCUGUCCAGCAUGGCUAAUGAAGAUGAGCUCACUGCCUUUUAGCAUGACUAAAAUGUGUUUUCUAUUAGAGGUAGCUCAGGCAGGUAACUCCAAACCAUUACAAUGGAUGAUGCAAAGAUACCUCUUGAAUGUGCUACAGUUUUGAUGACAGAGAAGACUAUAGAAAGAAAAAGUCUGACUGACACAAUAUCUGGUUUUCUUGCACCAUGGAAGCACAAGAUUUUUUCCUACCAGUUUCCCUUAUCAGUUCGAGGUUUUUUUUGUUGUUGGUGGGGUUUUUUUGUUUGUUUGUUUUUGGCUUACAUUUUUGUUUUCUUAGGCAGGAACAACAGAUGUAACUGGGCUGCAAAAUGGAGUAACUUGGACUGCUUCUGCUUAAGAAUCAGAAGGAGUUUGAGCACAAUCCUAAUAGAACCAUCUGAGUGAUAGCACUUAAGGGGUGGAUUGUCAGAGAGCUGCCUGAUGUACUUUCAGAGUCAGACGUGGUUUCUCAGAACAGAUCUGCGCUGUGUCACACUGAUGUGUUGGAAGCUGGGCUGGUGGAACAGUGCCGGGAGCUUUUGUACUGCUCUCUCUUAUGUGAUGUAAACAUCCUCUGUGUGUCCCAUGCAACUAUACAGCUCUGAGCACAGUGCCACUGCUUUGAUAAUAAUACAUUCAGUUAUUAUUCUUCCUCUGUUAUGAAUACGUUUCCCUAUUUUUUUCUCUUUGAUGAAAGAGAAAACGGAUGUGAUUGAGACAUUCUAAAAACUUGACAAGACAGUUAGAAAUUGGAAAAUGCAAACAAAAUAGGAGAACAUAUGAAAGAAUGCACAGUGGGGGAAGAAGGCUUUUCAGAGCUUAACACUCUCUAGUUUCAGAUCAGAAUACUGCUUGUCACCAUGUUCCUUCCUGCGCUAUUAAACACCCAAGAGUAACAUCAGAUUUCCCAUGUAUUCCACAGAGGUUUGAGUCACAGCAUUUUAAAUCAGGUGGUCAAACUCAGAACCUUUCUGCAGAAAACAUCCCAGAGCUCCAUUCAUUUGCUCUACUAAAGCAGCUUCAAAUUAAAUACAUUUGAAAAAAAUCUGCUGCAACUUCGUGAAAUGUCAGCACAGACAGAAGCUGAUAGCUAUAGGGCUAUCAUCUGGGGAGUACUCACUGAUAGUUUUCCCUUGCCUUGAUGAUAGGGAAAUUGGUCCAUCUCACAGAAAGAGUUUUCUAUGUGAGUCAUUUAGACUUAAUCUAGCCAAAUAGUGUUAGUUGAGUUACUGGAAACCCAGAGUGCUGGGGUGAGUAGAAGUGGAACUAAGGGCUUCUUACAGAUGCUUUUUAUUAUUUACAUGCAGGAAAAGAGAAGAAAAGGGAGAUAAAAUUCAGUGUUGAUGUUGCCUUGACUGAUCUGCAACUCUGGUACAGGACCUCCUGUUUUAUGUUCCUAGUCUUGAAACACCAAGCUGUGACAUGCAGUCAACACAUCCAAAGCAUGGGUUGCCAUUCAGAGAGACCUACACAAGUUUGAGCAGUGGGCCCAGGAGAACCUCUUGACGUUCAACAAAUCCAAGUGCAAAGUCAUGCACCUGGAUCAAGACAACUCCCAUUACCAGUAUAAGCUGGGGUAUGAAAGGACUGAGCACAGCCCCAACAAAAAAGGAUUUGGGAGUACUGGUGGAUUGCAAGCUGGACAUCAGUCUGCAGUGUGCUCUCACAGCUCAGAAAUUCAAUCAUACUCCGGUCUGCAUCAAAAGAAGCAUGGUCAGCAGCGUAAGGGAGGUGAUCCUGUUCCUCUGUGCUGGUAAGACCUCACCUGAAGUACUGAAUCCAGAUGUGGAGUCCUCAGUACAGGAGAGACAUGGACCUGUUGAAGUGUGUCAAGGGGAGGGCCACAGAGAUGAUCCAUGGGAUGGAACACUUACCCUACUGGGACAGACUAAGAUACCUGAGGCUGUUCAGCCUGGAGGAGAGAAGGCUCUAGGGAGUUAUUUUAAAAUGCCAAUGUAUAGUCUUGCAAAAAAGCACAAUCUUGACUGAAAGUAUUAAAAAAUGUUGCAUAUGGUCAUUAACCAAAAAUCUCUGUGUGUGAAAUAGAUCUUUCCUUUAGCAAAAUUCUAAAUCAUUUAACAAAUUAUUUAAAAAUAGGCAGAAGCACAUCCAACAAUAAAAGACAAACAUCACCAAAGAAAUCCAUUAAAAACAGAAUUAUUAAUAGAUGUUUUUUACAGUAUUUAUUUUGUAUAAAGGGGAUUUGUCUGUACAUUUAGUAUCACUUUAUGUAACAAUUUGAGAAAACUAUCUAUCAAUCCACAGCUUCAAACAGCUUUUUCUGUUGCUUAUAUACACAAGCACUUGUUCUGCAGCAGUAUGAAGCUCUGAAAAGAAGUGUUGCAUGACCAGAAUACAUUUGAAGGAAGCUAGACUUUGCUUUGAACCAGAUAAAUUGGUGGGUAAGAGAUAAACAUCUCAAGCGUGGCUGUAGUAGAGGUAAUUUUUUUUAUGUUAUGUUUUGUCUACAGUAUAAUUCUACAAGUAAAGAAAUGCCUGUCUAGAAAAGCUGAGAUCUCUGCAUUAAAAUACUUUGUAGAGCACAAGCAUAUCUUACAUACAGACAAACCAAAGUAUUAUGCUUUUAAAUGUACAAAUUUACAUACCUUGGUCUUGGCUCUCACACUUUUCAAAUCACCAGCAUUUUAAGUGCAGAUGCAUCAGGCUGAAAUGUAUAUGAUUUUUAAAUGCUACAUUUUGAAGGUUAAAACAAUAAAUAUAUCUAUUUUAUAUGAAGGAAAAAUAGAAAUAAGAUCCCUGAGUAAGUGCAGUAUCUGUCAAUUUCUGACCAAAGAUCCAGCUCCUUAAAAGGAAAAUAACACUAUUCCUUUUAAAUAUAAUUAUUUUAAAAGAUACUGUUAAAUGUAAGAAGUAACGCUCAAUUAUUAUUAAGCAACAUCUAAAAGGAUUUACUUACUAACAAUAAAAGAUGAAGUUUUCUUUCUGGUUAAUGUUCAAGAUAACGGCAAUAAUUUAAAUACGUAAUUUAUAUAUAUAUAUUAUUUAUAUAUAAUAUAAUAAAUGUAUUGUAAUGUACCUAAAUACGAACUUUACAGAAUGGGCUGUUUAACAUGUGUGUAAUAAUCCUUUUGGAAAUAAAGUACUGCAUGGUAUUCAAUAAAUACCUAUUUGUUUCUUUGUUUAAAUAAUAUAAUCAGCUAUUUAUUUCAGUGUUAAACUUACAUUUGAGUAAUAUUAAUUACACAGUGUAAUUACCUUGCCUGUGAUCAUGAUUUGGGGACAGAGUGUAUUGCCUGUGAUGCUGGCUAACAAUGAUAUGAUGUUUCUUACAUGGUCCAUCACUCUGCAUCCAUUUGUUUGCUUUACAUUUGCCCUGUAGAACUUCCAGUACCAAAAGUGCAUAGAAUAGUAAUGGAUGUCUAGCAUUCUAUCACUCAGAGAAUGUAGUUCAAAUAUACUGCUUUAAGUGAAAAGUUAUCUGUAAUCAGUAGCUGAAUGUAAAGAGCAGUUAGUGCUCAGUAGUUAUGGUAGAAAACACAAAAUGCAAUCAAAUAGCAGUCUGUACUCUGCAGGCAUAUGAUAAAUACUGUCCCUGUCCUGAGGAUUUUAUAGCUAAUGUGCUCUCUUUCGUACAGCACUGAACACGAAGAAUGUAUUUGCAAUGGUCUUUCUACAACAGAGAGUGUUUUUUAACUUGAAGAUAACUGUUUCUGUGAAGAAAAAAAAAUUGUAUUCUAUAAUAUCCACAGUGCUUUUAUUGGCACAGAUAAUAUAGUCCUUCAGAGGAAACACAGAAACUUCUGUUUUAUUUUCUUUUUUUAUAUCUCUUUUUGUCCUCUUGUAUCUCAGUGCAGUUGUCAUUAUAGGCUAUGACCACAUAGGCACCAAGUAAGAAACUAGUUUAUCCCUUCAAUUGUCAAAUUAUUUUACACUGUUCAUCAUUAAAAUAUAUGAAUGUAACACUUCAAUGUUAAAAACAAAUACUCCAGGUGUGCUUCUGCAUGUACACUUCUUUAGAUACUUAAGUUCAGGUUCACACAGGGGAAAACAUAUUCUGACCUUGGAGUGGAUGCCCAGACCAGAGAUGGCUUGAUCAGUCCAUUUCUGAAGAAGGAAGUUUAGUGCCAUUCAACAUUUAAAACAUAGAUAUAUCGCACUGUUCUAUACACUGUUCAUCUUUAAAGAGUUUUUUAGUGCUUAAGAAUAACUGAGAUUCAAAGGUCAUCAUCAGUUACUGCAUUUAUCACCUUAUUUUAUUCUAUUAAGACAUAAUUGGAGAGGCAGGGCUCUUUGAGGUAGAAGGCUAAGUAAUGGACUUACUCUUAUCUUGCAAAAGGUUGGUUUGCUGACUUCAAUGCUUUCCUAAGUAAGAUAAAAUUCAUUUAUCUGGCUUUCCAAGCUAUGAAAAGAGAAAGGCAUUCCUAUUGUAACAUUUUCUGCACAGCUUCAUGGAGCAAGAAAGAAAAAUAAGAUUUUGUUCAUGUGUUACAAGCAAACUUCCUGGAAGGAAAGUUUCAAAUAUCAGUCCAUGUUCCUAGGACCACUUACAUAAUCUGAAUAAAUGUGUAGGCUAAAAUAUACAAUCAGUAUGCAAGGCUUUAUUGGCAAAAUAGGUUACUUACUGUGUUACAAAUUCAUACUGCAUCUCAAGAUCCCUUACUGAAUUAAACUUGAAAUCUCUGUUCAGCUGUUUUGGUAAAGUUUCUAAUGCAUGAUUUCUGUGAAUCUGGAAAAGUUAUUUAAUUGUUUACUUCACUAUCUCCAGUUAUAUCUGAUGCAAAAGAAGUUACCCAUACAGAUUUUACUGGAUCACAGAAAAAUGUUGUGUUUGGGCAGCUUUAUAAUGUUUGAAUUAAAUAA